rnacentral:lncRNA from 1 species
UGGAAGUGGGGCACAGAGGAAGGAAGGAAGAAAGGAAGGAAUGCAGAGGACAGAAUGAAUACAGAUAAGGAGCAAGCAAGCCAGAGAAAAGGCCACACAUGCCCCCAGAAUGAUCCCCCGUGAUGAAGGUUGCUGCGUGAUCCACUCGGCCCCUGGGUCCCAGCAACUGACCACAGCAAAGAAGAAAAGAGGAGCUCCUGCAAGGGCAGGUGCUGGAGCACCAUCGUCCAGAACACGAAAUGCACACGUAGACAGGAACUCCGCAACCCCUCCCUGCACCUGGC